GAGGGAGCCCUCACACCAUCCACCAACAUAAGUUCUUUGCAUCUAGGACAAACAGUGUUUUUUUGUUUGUUUGUUUUACAAAGGUUAAUUUGGAGACAAAAUGGCUCAAGUUCAUCACAGCUUCAUUGUCUUUAUUUACAGGUUAUUAAUUAGGUAAGUGUAUUUGUUACCAUUUGCCAUCAUGACUGAAGAUUAUCUGGUCUCUUCCCUCUGGACCACAGUCUGUUCUCAUUUCCAUCACGUAUAAAAGAUGUCCAGAAGCAGCAAACAAGAUCCCAAAAACAACAACGGCAAGGCCAGAGAUGGUGCUGAUCUCGGACGUCCUGAUGCCGAUCGUUCACUUAAAGCUCACCGUACCAUGGGAGGACUGCACUAAGGAAGCAGAUGAUGGCAAAGCACACUGAGCUAAUGGAAGACAGCCAAAGCAACGGGCUGAGAGGGACGUGUGAGACCAUUGGAAUUGGAUGCAGAGGGUUCAUAGACUUCUAUUCAGAAGUUGUUGCCGCAUUACCAGAUCCAUGCAAUGAACUUGCCAGAAACCUGUGAAGACCUGGGACAGUGUUGCAGAACCAGCACCAAGACCUUUUUGUUCCCAAGCAGAUGUUGACCUUCCACCUCUCCACCAGCCACCCAUCAAGCUGUGUCACACAAGUACCCUGCAAUUAAGAGGAAACGGGCCAGUGUGGACGCUACAGUGACUUGCCAGCGGAGAGUGGAGACAAGUCCUGGAGAGUAAAAGUCUGAUGUUGAAUCACAACAGUUCUUCUAGGCUGGCGAAUGCUGUGAUGCUCAAGUUCAAACCCAAACAAAUGGAUGUGGCAAAUUUGUGAUGACAACUUGACUCAUCGACCUCAUAGCGGAGAGGCUUCAUGUGGCGUAAAAGCCACACUGAGAUGCCGUCUAGUCCUGCCCGGUACCCAGCAUGCCGCAGGGCACAGACAGAAGGAGCCACACUGUCUCCUGGGAUCUGAAAUGGGUCAUUUCUGCUCCCCCUGACCGCAACAUGGAGUUCGAACCAUGAAA